ensembl:lncRNA
CUGUAGGCAUUUGGCAGUAGCCCUGUGGAGAGAUUCUGUAUUAUGAUAAUCUGCAGAUCAUAUCUGCUCUCAUGCCAUCACUUCUGUAGUAGCUGGGUCAAAGGGAAUCUUGGGAGAUUGAAGGUGGAUUACUUUGGCUUGUGUUAAGAGUGUAGCACAGCUGGGUAUAAGAUCUUUGUAAUAGGUCUGAAGUGGAAGGAUUCUGAAGGGGUUAUAGAAUUGUAUAUCAUUAUCCUGUGUUUCUUCAUGCUUUUCUGCUGGACUGAGUUGAGGGGAUGAAAUUGCUCAGAUGCCUGAGGCGACAGACUGAGUUGACUAGAAUCAUCAUGAUUAUUCAAAUGAGAAUUAUCCAAAUGACCCAGAUUUCUUCCCUGCUGCAUCAUGACAAAUUGCUAGACAAUGACACCUCUACUGUCUGCAUUUCUGUGGGCAGACACAUUUGGAUACCCAUACAGGUAUUCCACAUCAUAACAUCGUAUAGUGCACUGGGAGUUAAAGUGUUAAUGCUCCAGUUCCGGGCAUCUGUCCGGAAGAGAAGAACUACAUCCUCUAGGCGGCUUUGUGGUUGGAGAGGAGAUAUAACCUCUGGCAAAGUCACCUGAUGUCCAUCUUCUUCCCUUGGCUCUCAUCCCGACCACAUGCAUCACCUCAGCACUACUGUAAGGCCUACAGCUCUCAGACACUCUUUC